AGGGUGCAAGCGUUAUCCGGAUUCACUGGGUUUAAAGGGUGCGUAGGAGGGCAGGGAAGUCCGCGGUGAAAUCUCCGAGCUUAACUCGGAAACUGCCGUGGAUACUCUCUGUCUUGAAUCCCGUGGAGAUGAGCGGAAUAUGUCAUGUAGCGGUGAAAUGCUUAGAUAUGACAUAGAACACCAAUUGCGAAGGCAGCUCGUUACACGAAGAUUGACUCUGAGGCACGAAAGCGUGGGGAUCAAACAGG
rnacentral:rRNA from 1 species